rnacentral:rRNA from 2 species
UUCGCAAUGCCCGAAAGGGUGACGAAGCGACGCCGCGUGGGUGAGGAAGGCCUUCGGGUUGUAAAGCCCUGUCAGGAGUUAAGAAAUGUAGACUCGCUAAUAUCGGGUCUAUUUGACAAAGGCUCCAAAGGAAGCCACGGCUAACUCUGUGCCAGCAGCCGCGGUAAUACAGAGGUGGCAAGCGUUGUUCGGAAUUAUUGGGCGUAAAGAGCACGUAGGUGGAUUUGUAAGUCAGACGUGAAAGCCUUCUGUUCAACGGAAGAAUUGCAUCUGAAACUACAAACCUUGAGUGUAGGAGGGGAGAAUGGAACUUCUGGUGGAGCGGUGAGAUGCGUAGAUAUCAGAAGGAACGCCGGCGGCGAAAGCGAUUCUCUGGCCUAUUACUGACACUCAGUGUGCGAAAGCUAGGGGAGCAAACGGGAUUAGAUACCCCGGUAGUCCUAGCUGUAAACGAUGGGCACUAAGUAGAGGGGUUUU